GACGAACGCUGACGGCGUGCUUAACACAUGCAAGUCGAAGGGAGUGGCGAACGGGUGAGUAACACGUGAGUAACCUGCCCUUUUCUUUGGGAUAAGCCUGGGAAACUGGGUCUAAUACUGGUUGGAUUGGGCUGGGCUCGCGGCUUAUCAGAUUGUUGGUGGGGUGAUGGCUUAACAAGGCUUUGACGGGUGGCCGGCCUGAGAGGGUGGUCGGGAACACUGGGACUGAGAUACGGCCCAGACUACGACGGGAGGCAGAAGUGGGGGAUAUUGCACAAAGGAUGAAAGUCUGAUGCAGCGACGUCGUGUGGGGGAUGAAGGCCUUCGGGUUGUAAACUCGUUUCGCCAGCGGAAUGGUAGUGGGUAAAGAAGCGCCGGCUAACUACGUGCCAGCAGCCGCGGUAAUAC
rnacentral:rRNA from 1 species